rnacentral:rRNA from 1 species
GGACUACAAGGGUUUCUAAUCCCGUUUGCUCCCCACGCUUUCGUGCCUUAGUGUCAGGAACGAGCCAGUAGACUGCCUACGCCAUCGGUGUUCCUCCCAAUAUCUACGGAUUUCACUCCUACACUGGGAAUUCCAUCUACCUCUCUCGUCCUCUAGCUGAGCAGUUUAGAUAAUGGAUGUAUGGUUGAGCCACACGCUUUCACUAUCUACUUACUCUGCCACCUACGCAACUCUUUACGCCCAGUAAUUCCGGAUAACGCUUGGAUCCUCCGUAUUACCGCGGCUGCUGGCAC